UCCCUGGUGGCUCAGAGGUUAAAGCAUCUGCUUGCAAAGCAGGAGACCUGGGUUCGAUCCCUGGGUUGGGAA
rnacentral:tRNA from 1 species